rnacentral:rRNA from 1 species
GCUCAGGACGAACGCUGGCGGCGUGCCUAACACAUGCAAGUCGAGCGAUGAACCCUUCGGGGGGAUUAGCGGCGGACGGGUGAGUAACACGUGGGUAACCUGCCUCAAAGAGGGGGAUAGCCUCCCGAAAGGGAGAUUAAUACCGCAUAACAUCAAAUUAUCGCAUGGUAGUUUGAUCAAAGCAGUAAUGCACUUUGAGAUGGACCCGCGGCGCAUUAGCUAGUUGGUGAGGUAACGGCUCACCAAGGCGACGAUGCGUAGCCGACCUGAGAGGGUGAUCGGCCACAUUGGAACUGAGACACGGUCCAGACUCCUACGGGGGGCAGCAGUGGGG